AUCAGCUCCCCAGCCCCACCCCCACCGCACUCGGCGUGGAAUGCUUUUAUUGGUGAAAUACGCUUAGUGAGCACAGCGGGCUGCACAGCUUUGGUCUCUUUGCAAAGCCGGUGGUAGAAUCAAGGCAGCGCUGUGGAAGGAAGAGUAGGGAUGGGAAAGGAAGAAGGAAGCAAACAGAGGAGAGAGGCUUUCAGUGUCCAGCUGUGUGCGUGCAAAAGCAACCUGAGGCCAGCAGUGAACUGGAUGCCGCUAUGUGUCAGGAUGGCUUCCGGGGAGACUUCAUUUCCUGAAGAAGUGGAGAAUGGAUUUUGUCUGCGGGUCCUCCGGACGAUUCAUAUCAGGGCUACACUUCCUUCUCCUGCCACUGUAAAAACGGACUGA
rnacentral:lncRNA from 1 species